AGGGUAGUCCAAAGGCAUAGAACCUUGGGAAACCCAAAGAUAUCAUUUUCCAAAACCAACAAGUUGAGUGGCAGCAACCCAACUUUAUUUUUGAAUUCACUGAAUCUACUAGCCCCCACAGGUUCUAAUGAUAACACUAGGGAAAAUCCGGGGGAGGGAGGGUAAAGAAAAAAACUUCAUACAAAUGCGGUGUAAAAUUUCUUCCUGUUCCGUUAUAUGAGAGAGAGAGACUAUCACCCACUCACCCAGAGUAUUCUUAUUGGCUUAUUCAGAAAAUAUCGGCCUGCUCUUCCACCACAGUAAAGGCAUCAUCACAAUUCACAGGCCUAUAACUUGAGCUUUGGUUGUUUUAUCCAAGGAUCGACCCUAGCCGAUAA